GAUGAACGCUGGCGGCGUGCCUAAUACAUGCAAGUCGAGCGAACAGACGAGGAGCUUGCUCCUCUGACGUUAGCGGCGGACGGGUGAGUAACACGUGGAUAACCUACCUAUAAGACUGGGAUAACUUCGGGAAACCGGAGCUAAUACCGGAUAAUAUAUUGAACCGCAUGGUUCAAUAGUGAAAGACGGUUUUGCUGUCACUUAUAGAUGGAUCCGCGCCGCAUUAGCUAGUUGGUAAGGUAACGGCUUACCAAGGCAACGAUGCGUAGCCGACCUGAGAGGGUGAUCAGCCACACUGGAACUGAGCCACGGUCCAGACUCCUACGGGAGGCAGCAGUAGGGAGUCUUCCGCAAUGGGCGAAAGCCUGACGGAGCAACGCCGCGUGAGUGAUGAAGGUCUUCGGAUCGUAAAACUCUGUUAUUAGGGAAGAACAAAUGUGUAAGUAACUAUGCUCGUCUUGACGGUACCUAAUCAGAAAGCAACGGCUAACUACGUG
rnacentral:rRNA from 1 species